rnacentral:rRNA from 1 species
UACGUAGGUGGCAAGCGUUGUCCGGCUUUAUUGGGUUUAAAGGGUGCGUAGGCGGCCCUGUAAGUCAGUGCUGAAAUAUCCCGGCUUAACCGGGAGGGUGGCAUUGAUACUGCGGGGCUAGAGUACAGAUGAGGUAGGCGGAAUUGACGGUGUAGCGGUGAAAUGCUUAGAUAUCGUCAAGAACACCUAUAGCGAAGGCAGCUUACUAGGCUGUAACUGACGCUGAGGCACGAAAGUGUGGGGAUCAAACAGG